GUCCGUCGGAAGGGGACGAUAAAUGGCUGACCCGUGUUAAGAGAGAGUCAUAUCUCUUGCACGUUAAAGACACCCUUGUAGAUUUCGAAAAAGAGUAGGCUAAUGCCGCUACAAGGCAGCACUCGCACCCGCAAAGUGGAAAGGGAUUAAUAUAAGUUGCAAAACUUGUUUAUCAAUCCACUAUAAAUAAAUAUGUUUAAACUAAUU
rnacentral:lncRNA from 1 species